CUCUUGGGAACGUCCUCAUGACGGGCAUAUCGGCUGGGGUCGAGUUUACGGACAACAUGGCGGUGGGACAGCGGCUGGCGCACACCCACUGCCGCAAACAGUUCUUCUGGCACCGCUGGAACUGCCCCACCGACGACUUCCUCAGAAGGAACCACCAGCCGGGCCGAGCCACGCGCGAGGCGGCCGU